UACGUAGGGUGCAAGCGUUGUCCGGAAUUAUUGGGCGUAAAGAGCUUGUAGGCGGUUUGUCGCGUCUGCUGUGAAAUUUCGGGGCUCAACCCCGAACUUGCAGUGGGUACGGGCAGACUAGAGUGUGGUAGGGGAGACUGGAAUUCCUGGUGUAGCGGUGGAAUGCGCAGAUAUCAGGAGGAACACCGGUGGCGAAGGCGGGUCUCUGGGCCGUAACUGACGCUGAGGAGCGAAAGCGUGGGGAGCGAACAGG
rnacentral:rRNA from 1 species